rnacentral:rRNA from 1 species
UACGGAGGGUGCGAGCGUUGUCCGGAAUCAUUGGGCGUAAAGGGCGCGUAGGUGGCCUGGUAAGCGUGCGGUGAAAGCCUGGGGCUCGAACCCCGGGUCGGCCGCUGCGAACUGCUAGGCUUGAGCACUGUAGAGGCAGGCGGAAUUCCGGGUGUAGCGGUGAAAUGCGUUGAUAUCCUAAGGAACACCGGUGGCGAAAGCGGCUCACUGGAUCUCUUCUGACGCUGAGGCACGAAAGCUAGGGUAGCGAACGGG